rfam:Oryctolagus cuniculus chromosome 1, whole genome shotgun sequence.
GGCGCUGUGGCAUAGUGGGUAAAGCUGCUGCCUGCAGUGCUGGUAUCCCAUAUGGGCACUGGUUCAAGUCCUGUCUGCUCUA